CUCUGUGCUGCUGCUGAAAGUCUAAGGACCUUGAAAAACCCAAAGCAGCUUGGAAUCAUUGUGCCCCGUGUACGGGUUUCAAGGUAUGAGCAGGAGCCAACAGAAGGCUUCAGAACUCUCAGACCUGGAGUUACAUGGGAGUGUGAAGAGAUAUGGGUGCCGGAAACCAGCCUCUCUCCAGUUCUGCAAAAUGCCAGUGACAAUACCUGCCCUCAGAUGUCCUUGUGAAUGACUCCGCCCAGAUGAAAGAGUGAUAUUGCCGGCCGAUCCAUCCCAGCACAGUCAAUGCCAACUGGUCCUCAGAAGAUGCUUCCACGUUCUAUGGACGCUCAGCCUGGCAAACAACUGCUGGCAGCCAGUGAGGCUGGGAGGGAUGGAAACUGGGGAUUACU